GACGAACGCUGGCGGCGUGCUUAACACAUGCAAGUCGAGCGAUGAAGUUUCUUCGGAAAUGGAUUAGCGGCGAACGGGUGAGGAACACGUGAAGAAUCUGCCCUCCACUUUGGGAUAACACCGGGAAACCGGUGUUAAUACCGAAUAUUGAAACAUAAGUGGCAUCACUGAGUUUUGAAAGAAUUUCGGUGGAGGAUGACUUCGCGGCCUAUCAGCUAGUUGGUGAGGUAAUGGCUCACCAAGGCAACGACGGGUAGCCGGCCUGAGAGGGCGACCGGCCACACUGGGACUGAGACACGGCCCAGACUCCUACGGGAGGCAGCAGUGGGGAAUAUUGGGCAAUGGAGGAAACUCUGACCCAGCGACGCCGCGUGCGGGAUGAAGGCCUUCGGGUUGUAAACCGCUUUCAGUAGGGAAGAAGCGAAAGUGACGGUACCUACAAAAGAAGCACCGGCUAACUAUGUGCCAGCAGCCGCGGUAAUACAUAGGGUGCAAGCGUUGUCCGGAAUUAUUGGGCGUAAAGAGCUCGUAGGUCGUUUGUUACGUCGGAUGUGAAAACCUGAGGCUCAACCUCAGGCCUGCAUUCGAUACGGGCAAACUAGAGUUUGGUAGGGGAGACUGGAAUUCCUGGUGUAGCGGUGGAAUGCGCAGAUAUCAGGAGGAACACCAAUGGCGAAGGCAGGUCUCUGGGCCAAUACUGACACUGAGGAGCGAAAGUCUGGGGAGCGAACAGGAUUAGAUACCCUGGUAGUCCAGACCGUAAACGGUGGGCACUAGUUGUGGGAACCUUCCACGGUUUCUGCGACGCAGCUAACGCAUUAAGUGCCCCGCCUGGGGAGUACGAUCGCAAGAUUA
rnacentral:rRNA from 1 species